rnacentral:rRNA from 1 species
GAUGAACGCUGGCGGCGUGCCUAAUACAUGCAAGUCGAGCGAAUGGAUUAAGAGCUUGCUCUUAUGAAGUUAGCGGCGGACGGGUGAGUAACACGUGGGUAACCUGCCCAUAAGACUGGGAUAACUCCAGGAAACCGGGGCUAAUACCGGAUAAUAUUUUGAACUGCAUGGUUCAAAAUUGAAAGGCGGCUUCGGCUGUCACUUAUGGAUGGACCCGCGUCGCAUUAGCUAGUUGGUGAGGUAACGGCUCACCAAGGCAACGAUGCGUAGCCGACCUGAGAGGGUGGUCGGCCACACUGGGACUGAGACACGGCCCAGACUCCUACGGGAGGCAGCAGUAGGGAAUCUUCCGCAAUGGACGAAAGUCUGACGGAGCAACGCCGCGUGAGUGAUGAAGGCUUUCGGGUCGUAAAACUCUGUUGUUAGGGAAGAACAAGUGCUAGUUGAAUAAGCUGGCACCUUGACGGUACCUAACCAGAAAGCCACGGCUAACUACGUGCCAGCAGCCGCAGUAA